rnacentral:tRNA from 1 species
GGCUGUGGCUUUGUGGUAGAGCGCUUGCCUAGCAUGUGCAAGGCACUGGGUUCGAUUCUCAGCACCA